UACGUAGGGGGCGAGCGUUGUCCGGAUUUAUUGGGCGUAAAGAGCUCGUAGGCGGUUCGAUAAGUCGGACGUGAAAUCUCCACGCUCAACGUGGAGGGGCCGUUCGAUACUGUCGUGACUCGAGUCCGGUAGGGGAGUGUGGAAUUCCCGGUGUAGCGGUGAAAUGCGCAGAGAUCGGGAGGAACACCCGUAGCGAAGGCGGCACUCUGGGCCGGUACUGACGCUGAGACACGAAAGCGUGGGUAGCAAACAGG
rnacentral:rRNA from 1 species